rnacentral:lncRNA from 1 species
GAAAAAUGUAGAGAUAUGAGGAACUUGUAUGUUGGGUAUCCAUUUGUUCGGCUCCCUCGUUGUGGACAUAUGUUCCAUCCACGAUGCAUGGCUGAGAAGUUGUGUGUACAGCCACUAUGCCCAAAAUGUUUGAUUCCCGUCUUUGAUGCUGUAACCGGUCGACUAUUGCUACAGGUUGUAUGUUCUUUCCAUUUUGGCAUGUUUAUUAUUAUUUUUAUUAUAUUUGUUGCAUUGAUGGAACGAGCUUUUACUGGAUAAAUGAUUUGUUAUUGUUAUAAUUUGACGGAUUAACCUUUUGAAUGGAUUGUUUAUUUUUCUUGUUUGGUAUACAAAUUUCAAACACAUGUGUAAAACUUACACGAAUGCUUAUUACCCAUUGCAAAUCAGAUUGAUACAAUCAUCGAAAUUUGACUGCAUGUUUCUUAUUUCUUGUAUUUUUAGGAAGGAAGUUAUUGAGAAGGAAGAAGAAGGAAUCCUGGAGGACGAAGUUAUUGAGAAGAAAGAAGAAGGAAUCGUGGAGCACGUUGACUAACAUGCAUGAGGCAGCUAUCUAGUUUUGCUAUAUGCAACGGCGGUUUGCUAAAUAGAACUAUUAUAAAAACUAAUUUGUAUGAUGACUUGC